rnacentral:rRNA from 1 species
GACGAACGCUGGCGGCGUGCCCAAUACAUGCAAGUAGAACGCUGAAGAGAGGAGCUUGCUCUUCUUGGAUGAGUUGCGAACGGGUGAGUAACGCGUAGGCAACCUGCCUUGUAGCGGGGGAUAACUAUUGGAAACGAUAGCUAAUACCGCAUAACAAUGGAUGACACAUGUCAUUUAUUUGAAAGGGGCAAUUGCUCCACUACAAGAUGGACCUGCGUUGUAUUAGCUAGUAGGUGAGGUAACGGCUCACCUAGGCGACGAUACAUAGCCGACCUGAGAGGGUGAUCGGCCACACUGGGGCUGAGACACGGCCCAGACUCCUACGGGAGGCAGCAGUAGGGAAUCUUCGGCAAUGGGGGCAACCCUGACCGAGCAACGCCGCGUGAGUGAAGAAGGUUUUCGGAUCGUAAAGCUCUGUUGUAAGUCAAGAACGAGUGUGAGAGUGGAAAGUUCACACUGUGACGGUAGCUUACCAGAAAGGGACGGCUAACUACGUGCCAGCAGCCGCGGUAAUACGUAGGUCCCGAGCGUUGUCCGGAUUUAUUGGGCGUNAAGCGAGCGCAGGCGGUUUGAUAAGUCUGAAGUUAAGGCUGUGGCUCAACCAUAGUUCGCUUUGGAAACUGUCAAACUUGAGUGCAGAAGGGGAGAGUGGAAUUCCAUGUGUAGCGGUGAAAUGCGUAGAUAUAUGGAGGAACACCGGUGGCGAAAGCGGCUCUCUGGUCUGUAACUGACGCUGAGGCUCGAAAGCGUGGGGAGCGAACAGGAUUAGAUACCCUGGUAGCCCACGCCGUAAACGAUGAGUGCUAGGUGUUGGAUCCUUUCCGGGAUUCAGUGCCGCAGCUAACGCAUUAAGCACUCCGCCUGGGGAGUACGACCGCAAGGUUGAAACUCAAAGGAAUUGACGGGGGCCCGCACAAGCGGUGGAGCAUGUGGUUUAAUUCGAAGCAACGCGAAGAACCUUACCAGGUCUUGACAUCCCGAUGCUAUUUCUAGAGAUAGAAAGUUACUUCGGUACAUCGGUGACAGGUGGUGCAUGGUUGUCGUCAGCUCGUGUCGUGAGAUGUUGGGUUAAGUCCCGCAACGAGCGCAACCCCUAUUGUUAGUUGCCAUCAUUCAGUUGGGCACUCUAGCGAGACUGCCGGUAAUAAACCGGAGGAAGGUGGGGAUGACGUCAAAUCAUCAUGCCCCUUAUGACCUGGGCUACACACGUGCUACAAUGGUUGGUACAACGAGUUGCGAGUCGGUGACGGCAAGCUAAUCUCUUAAAGCCAAUCUCAGUUCGGAUUGUAGGCUGCAACUCGCCUACAUGAAGUCGGAAUCGCUAGUAAUCGCGGAUCAGCACGCCGCGGUGAAUACGUUCCCGGGCCU